GAAAUGCGAUAAGUAGUGUGAAUUGCAGAAUUCAGUGAAUCAUCGAAUCUUUGAAUGCACAUUGCGCUUCCUGGAAUCCCGGGGAGCAUGCCCAUUUCAGAAUCAUUUAAAACCUCUAUUGCUUUGAUGUGCGGUCUUUGUGCCAAGCAUUGGAGCAAGCAGGAGUCUGGACUAUUUGUAACAUUUGCAAUGGUCUGUAAUGUAUUGUAUGUACUGCGAUCACUAUGUUGGUUGUCAAUUAAACAGCAACAGAUAUUCUAUUUCUGCUUGAUUGGCUCCCGAGAUUGAUUCCGGAACAUAAACCACCAAACCACACAGAAAGUAUGGCUUUGUCAAAAUUUCUGUCUACUUGGUCUGAAAUUGGCAAGAAAACCCGCUGAACUUAA
rnacentral:misc_RNA from 1 species